ensembl:lncRNA
GGGAGAGGGCUCCUUUUUUUCAUUACGGUUAAAAACAAAAUACUGAUUAUUGUAGAUAUGGUUUUGACUUGAAAAAUACUGUGAUUUCAGAGAGUGUCAGAACAUGUUCUAGAGCUAGGGCAUUACAAGAUAAAAGAGUCAAAGGUAUGCAUUACUCAUUUUGAUUGUUUGGAGAUAAAAAAAAAAAAGCAUAUUCUGUACAUUUUAUCAUUCAGUAUUCUCAUGAAAGUAUAUUUGUGCUGUUUCUUUCCUCCUAACGACGCUCUUUAGAUGCAGCGUUCAUUGACGUCAUAUCCUGCUUUGUGUUUGCUAAGAGGAAACGGAGGAUUGCUUUUGUGAUUCGUUUGAAAUUAUUCUGCAGUGAAGAUGUGCGAACAUGUAUAUUCAAAAGAGUCAACAUAUCCGCCUACAGUUUGACCAGUUGUCAUUGAGUAUAUAGUAUUCUUUUUUUGUUUUGUUUUGUUCGUUGAGCAUUCUUCUCAGUGUCGGAGGCUCUGAGGUCGAGAUUAUUUGAUCGGGACAGUAUCGGGCAGCACGUUCAGAAGGUGUUGGGGAAAAAAGUAUUCAACGUUUCAAUCUUAAACUCAGUCAGUGCCAUCCCACACAUACGCCAAACCCCGAGGAUCAGAAACGACAGCCUAUAAGAAGGAAGGAUUCUUGGGGGGGAAAGUGUCCCAGAAAUAGCCAUAAAUUGAAUGAUGUAACAACCAAAAGGCCUACAAUCCAUAUGGAUUAUUGCUGUUUUGCUCAAACACAAACACACACCUACACACACAUGCAGACACACACACAUUGCAUUUUCAGUGCUCAGGUUCAUUUGCAAAGAAAAAAAAAACCUCUAAGAUUUUGUAUUUCAUUAAUUAAUUCAUUGUAUUUUUAGUUUUUUUAAUAGGCCUGGUUAAUAGUGUAUAUAGGUUGAAAAAUUGUAGCCACUAAAAAGCGUUUUAUGAUAUUAAAGCAGAUGGACAGCUGACACUCUGUAAAAGUUUUGAAAGACAGAAAAGAGAGCAAAAAGCAGCAACAUACACAACCAAACCUAGUUAGGGGCAUUGGCCCCGGAGAAAAAAAAUAAAAGUUACAAAGAGAGCAACUACACACAAACAUAUUAAUGAAGUUAAGGUGUCUAAGGUGUGUUAAAAUAAAAGGAGUGCUAAUCAGAAACCAAUUUGUCUCCUUACAUCUUAGUGAAGUUUGUAUUGUGAUGUGGCCCAAGCCUUGAGCUGAGUUUAGUAUUCCUUAUUGUGUACAUUUUAUGCAUUGUUGUCUUAUUCUCUAGAAGCAAAAAAGAAGAACACUCACUCCAUGUGAUUGCACAGUGAGUUGGUGUUCCCUGUAUUUUCCUCUCUAAAAAGUUGCCUCUGGUUAAGGUCUGUUGUCGGUUACUGUACGAGGAUUCCCGCAAAGAAGCUGUGCUGAUUCCCACUUACGCAUCAGUUUACUGUACCUCCUUCUUUAAAGGAGGAAGACUAGAUCAUGUUUAACCAGUAGGUAAGAAAAUUAUCCAACACUUUUUAAAUUUUGGCAAUGGAAGAAAACAAAAAGAAGAACCCCACAAGAUAAACAGCCCAUUAUUUUGCUUUUUCCUUUUGUUUCGGUAUAAAUUAGUAAAUGAUUUUUCUUCAUUUCUGUGUUCAUUUCAAAUUUAUUGUAUUCGUUACAUUUGUUAUGGAUUGUUAUUCUUACUGUUGUUGUUGUUUUAUCAUAAGAAGGAAAUGUAAUUCAUCUGAUAUACUGGCACUGGAAGAAAAAUGCAUUUGUUUUUUUGUACUGUAAUUGUUUUGUUCACAUUGGGCGCUUAUUUGAUUCAGUUGUUUAAUAAGGUGUUUGAUUUCAUUUGGAGUACCAGUACUCAUGAAAUCAACAUUUGUGUAGUAUGAAGUUGUAUUUUUUUUGUCAGUGCAAAAUUAAUGUUAUAGUGUCGAUCAGCUUUUUUAGGUGUUUGAACAAAAUGUGUUUUUUACAAAUACAAGGUGUUCAAGUAUGUGGUAUAAAAAGGGUUAUCAUUCAAACAACCAACUUUUUACAAAUAAAGGCUUAUACAGUAAAGAAAGCUAAUGUCUUUUCAUUUGCCCUUUGUGGACUAAUAUAUGACACCGUUUCGUUUGACUUUUGAUUAAUUUCUUUUUCAGAUAUUAGUCCCCAAAAGGUAAAUAGCAUAAAUACAAUGUUGCAAACCAAGAGGACAAAAUCAGGUAUUUGCCAUUGCUACUCCAGGUUGUUGGCAGAGCUCUCACCGCUUAGCUGGUGUCUUGCUUUUGAUAAGGACUGCUGGAUAUGAAGACAGUCUGAAAACAAAAAAAUUAAGAAAAAUCAAGAGUGUCUUCUUUUAAUUUGAUUACAAAACAUUGCGCGUUUAUGAGAAUAUACCUCCUUUCAUACCCUAUUUCCUGAAUAAAGACGCAAAGUGACUCCUGC